GGUAUGAAGUAGUAUCUCAUUAUGAUUUUGAACUGAAAAACUAUUUUAAAUGCUGGAUAGUUCAAUAAGUUGAUUGGAUAUAAAUUAUUUAAUGUACCAAAAGCCUUCGUGUACACAAACCAUAACCUGUUAGAAAAUAUAAUGAAACAAAUGAUCCAAACCAAAAAAAUUAACAAAGUUUAUUUAAAAGUCAAAAUAUAUAUAAAGAAAACUUUAACACACUCCUGAAGAGCACAGAAGAAGGGCUGAGCAAAUGGAAAGGAAUAGGCAAUCUUAAAAACAAAAAAAAAAUUUCCCCUGCUACUCAUAAAUGGGAAAACUCAACAUCAUAAUUAGUUCAGUUCUCCCUAUAUUAAUCUAUAAAUAACAUGACUACAACACAAAUACUACCUAAUAUUAGAGCCAGACUAGCUGUAACUAUAACUCAUAUGAAAAGACAAUACAGAAUUAUGGUUUUAUCCACAGAUCCAGCCUUCCUGGGUGUUCAUCCUGGUAUGCUGCUUAUUAUUAGGUUGGACAAGUUACUUAAUUCCCUGCAUCUCAGAUGCCUCUUCUAUGAAAAGGGAUAAUAAUAUCUACCUGGUAGGGUUGUCAGAGGAUUAAAUGCAUUAAAAUGCAUAAUGCACUUAGAAUAGUACCUGGUAUAUAACAAAUGUUAAAUAAGUGCUAAUUAUCAACAUUAUGUGGGAAAAAUAAAUCAAGAAUAGGUAAAAAAAAAAAGUCUUUAAAAAAGUUAUGAAAGAGGACUGGCCCUACUAGAAUAUUAAAAUAGCACAAUUCUGGUGAAUCAGAAUUAAGACAGAUCAAUGGAAUAGAAGAGAUGAUACAGAAACCCAAAUGCAUAUGAGAAUUUAGAAAAUGAUAAAGGAAGCAUUUCAAAUUAGUGUAGAAAAGGAGGAGCAUUCAUUAUGAGCGAUUCUUGGACAAAAUUCCCACUUCACUUCUUAUACAAAAAUAAAUUCCAGAUGAGGUAAAGAUUUAGGUAGAAAAAUAAAACCAUAAAAGCACUAAAAUAAAACACGAUGAAAUUAUUUAAUAAUCUGAGUGCAAUAUAACCCCAAACCUAGAAGCCAUCAAAGAAGACUGAUAAAUCCAAAUAUAUGAAUUUCUGUAAGACAAAAAAUAAGACACCAUAAACAAAAUCAAAAGACAAAUAACCCGGAAAGGAAUAAUUAUAACACAUAUCACAAAGGGUUGGUUUCCUUAAUAUGCAGAGAUCUCGCACGAACCAGAAAGAAAAUGACCAAUGAUGCAAAAGAAAAAUGAGCAACUCUGGAACAAGUAAAUCACAAAAAGUAAAUACAAAUUAAUCCACAUAUGAAAAGAUGUUCAGCUUCACUCGUAAUGAAGACAUGAAUUGAAACUACAACUAGAAAUCUGUUUUCACCUGUUUGAUAACAUGUGGGCUAUAGGGAAAUAGGUACUCUUCACACAUUGCUGGUGAGAGUAAAAUGGAUACAGUCUCUAUGAGAGCAAUUUGGCAAUGUCUGUCAAAGAAUGCACAAACAAACCUUUGGCCUAGCAAUUCAACUUCCUAGAAAUUUAUCCUACGUAUAUAUUUGCACUUGUGUACAAUAAUGUAAGCGCGAGGAUGUUCACUGAAGCAUUGUUUGUAAUAGGAAAAUAUUGUAUACGUAAAUGUCCAACUAUUGGGGGCUGUUAAGUCAUUAUGCUACAUAUGUACAAUAGAACAAGGCAGCUCUACCUGCCUUAAGUGAAAGAGCAAGUAUAGCAUACUACCAAUUCUAUAUGACCUAUGUCACUAACAUCAAUAAACAUAUAGCGAGAAAAAAUAAAAAUGCUGAGAUGUGCAUAAAAUCUGACCAUAUUUCCAAGAAAUCCUUUUCACUAAUGGCUUAUAGAGAGAAUUGCAAGCCUGGAGUAUGGGGAACAAGGAUGUUUACUUUUUUGACAAUUUUAGAUUUUGUAUUUUUUUGCAUGAAAUUAAGCUUGUUUGUUACAAUGAAUGUUUAAAAUUCCAUUCAUUCAUGAAUUUAUUUGCAUUUAGUGAUAUGGAACCGUCAUCUUGUCCAAAGCUUUCAGUUGUCUGGAGAAGACGUAUAUAAGAUGUUCAUCUUUCCCUGGAGGAGCUGGCAUAGUGGACUGCUGACCUCUGCACUGCCAUCAUGGGGGAGGGGAGCGGAGCGGACAUUCAUAUCGGAAAGAGAUAUUUCUGGGCCCCACCCUGAUCGAUCGAAUUAGAGUCCCGGAGUAAAGCCCAGGAGUCUGCAUUCCUGAGAGGAUCCCACUGGGAUUCAGGUAGGUGACAAUUUUGAAGCCUUCUUGGGGGGAGGGGCAGUCAGCCCGCGCAGCACAGGGUGCAGGUGCGUUUUGCCGUCCUUUCCUCGCUCCUCCCUAGGAGCCACCGUCGCGCUCGGGCGAGGGGGUGUCACCCCUGGGGCGUGGGGGCAGCUCUCCCGCAACACCCGAGACCCAGGCCUCCCCGCGCUCUCCUUUGAGCCAAAACCGCGAGGCCUCGCUCGGUCGCCGCCCGGUGCCGCUCUUCCCAGUACACGGAUCAGGGUCCUAGUCGGUUGGGCCCAGACCCUAAGCCACCGACCCGGGGCUGCUGGGAGGUUGGGGGGCAGGCGCAGGACCCACGCGAUUGACUAUAGUUGGAAGGACCGCCGAAGCCCAAAGCAGAGGGGAAAGAGAAAGGGAACGGGAAGCGAGUUAAACCGUCUAGGAAAAGGAGAACAAACGGAGAAAUGAUAGGGGUAGAAAAGUUAUAGGAGUAAAAACCACUACGACUCCGCCGGGACUCGAACCCGGAACCUUUGAAUGCCUUCAGCCUCUAGAAGUCCAAUGCGCUAUCCAUUGCGCCACGGAGCCACCUGUUGGAGUUUUUGCGCAUUUGCUAUAUUAAGCCAGAGGCGACGGCCCGGCGCCCUUCCAACCGCCCCGAGAGAGCUAGCUCACGGCAGCGGCCACCCAAGUGUCAGCCGCAAGCCUCGUCUUUCCACGGCGACUGUCUUUCAACUAGGUCAGCGAGCCCCGCGAGCGAAGGGAGUCCGCGAGUGCGCCGCGUCCCGGCAGGUCUGUCUGAGGGCAGCCUCAGCCUGGCCUCCGACCCGCCCAAGCCGCCGUACCCAGCAGCGCAGGACAAAUCACGCCCGAGCUCUCCCUUCCCUGCUCCCUUCCUGCCCGAGAGCCCCGCCUACCGGGACUCCCCGGCCCCGGCGAUGCAGGCCCAAGGUCGGCCGUUGCGCCGUUAAGCCGGGCCGGUAACGCCGGGCACUUACGUCGCACCUUUUAGCGGCCGAUCGCGAGCGGCGGCCCCUGGUGGAUCCCGGGCUCUUCCCUGGUCGCCCGUGGCCGAGACCCGCCGCUGCGAGCGCGGGCCGCGGCGACGUCUGUGCUAACAUGUCAAGCUUGUCACGGUUUCAUGGAUGCUGACAGAACACACAAGACUACUGGAUCAGAGAUGAAAGACUAUUAUUACAGUAAAACCUGUAGCCAGAGUGUCAGCAUGUUUGUGUUGGUUCCCUGAACCCCAGUUCUCAGGAAAAUGAAGCAGAUGGGCCCAGAUAUAUGCUUGCACAUAAGGUUGCAUUACAGGAGAGAAAUGCUGAGCUUGGGGAACCCACCAUUUUACAGCAAGCAGUAAGCAAGCUUGCCCUGUGUCCCAUAGGGAGACAUUUCCUCAUCUCUCAAGGUUGCUCACUGCAAGAAUUUGCAAGAAUGGGAGAGGCCGGUGGGAUUGUCUCUCCAAACAGUAAGUGACAGGGUCCUAAUUGCUGCCAGGCCUGUCUGUUUCAUUUCACUAUUAUAUACAUAAAGUUCCUUGACAACAUGCAUUUUAUGUUUAACAUUGUUUUGUCCCUUUUAAGGUUAAGAAAAUAAAACUCAUGUCUUCCCAUGCAUGGAGGAAUUGUCACAUGUACAAAAUUAGCCCUUAAAAUAGGAUAUGACUUUAGAUCAUAUUUAUUUUAAAAAUUUCUAUUGAACUCUGCAAUGUGCCAGGCACUGGUGACAUCUCAGAGUCUUCACUGGUCCUUGGAAUUGCACAUGGCAGAACAGGGAAAAAGAAAUGCUCAGUGCCCCUGUAGGAAUACCAUAUGGAGGAAUUCUGCCUGGGGACAUUGGAGCCAACUCUCCAAUGAUGAAUCACUGAUGUGAAGGGCGCCAAAGCAUGGUCUGUAACCACCUCUGAGCAGGCUGAUCGCCCAGCUGCAGUUUGAGUUCCCUGGACAGCAAAACCAAAGAAGGUGAGAAGAAAUACUGGCAGAUACUGCAAGAGCAAGGACUCAGACAGACUUCAGCUAUUUUGUUCCGGAUCCCAGCUCCUAAUUACUGGGUAAGAGUGGAACAGCCUUAAGUAGGAAAAUGUGUGAUCUCAAAGGCAGCCAAUGACAUCCUGGAUCUAAGGGGUGGAAGCUCUCCUCCCAGAGGCUGAGCCCUCAGCUGAGAAAGAUGACCAUUGCGUUCUCACUCAUUGCCCAUCAGCAUGUUGCCUUAACUCAGGUUAGGAGUAUUUCACAAGGACCCUUAUAUGCUUAUUGCCUUUGGCUGUGGAGUUCUGCCCAUUGUUUUAGUUCUCAUGAGAUGGCCUCAGUGUAGUUUCUUCCCUUCCCCCCCUUUCUUCUCUCUUUCUUUCUUCUCCCUUCCUGCUUUCUUCCUCUUAGAUGUAUUUAUAAGAGGACUGGAUGUAGAAUCAGGAGACCUAAGACCUAGCCUGGUCCUGCCCCUUGCUUAAGAAUUUUCAGGCUUCCGUUGACGAUGGGUAACUGAAACUGAAGAAAACAAAACUGUGGCUAAGGAAAGACCACUGUAUUGUUUUUAAGAAUUGGAGGAUGGACCUUUUUGAAACAUACGAGUACUGAAACAAUAAAGUGGAACUGGAUGCACGGAAGGGUUGCCAAAGAGAACCUGGUGACAUAGCUCGGGACAGGAAGCGCCCUGUGGUGUGAAGCAAUCACGCAGCAAACCUGGACCUAGAAGCUGGGCGGUCGCGAGAGUCCCGGCUCCCAGAGGCGCCGAGACACCGGGCGACAGCAGCGCUGAGGCUCAAGCGGACAGCUGCCCAGGCUGAGGGUUGCGGAUGUGCCUCCUGAGUCCCCUGUGUAUAACGCCCCAAAGCAUCGGCAUGAAGUCAUUAGGGGAUAUUCCCCUCCCUCCUUCUUGCUGUUCUAAGGGAGAAUGAAGAGGAGGGCUGCCUGUUAAGCACUCACACUGUCAAUUCUAACCUGAUGCCAGUGGUUGAAGACAUCCUUAUACAGGGUCUCCCACACUGAGAGGAAAGGCUCGGUGUUCUGGGAGCCACUGCAAACACCUGCAGAGACCACAGCUCAGCUCCACUGAAGCGCAAGAGACCCGUUUUAAGACAAAGCGUGUGACAGAACAGCAGUGCUCGCUCAAAACCACUUCCCAGAUAGGCAGAUUCAUUGACCUCUCUUUCCCUUGAAUGUGCUUUGAACAGACCGCAGACUGAGAGGAUCAGAAAGAAGGGGAAAGGAAUGUGGCUGUAAAUCAGUGUACCUUCUCUAACUCUUAGGGUCAGAGAGCCGGUGUUACUGAAAGGUUGAGGGAGACAUGCCCUCCUGGGGGAAGGCCUGGGGCUAUUGCAUGUACCUGAGCAGUUAGCAGUACAUCCCAAAGCCUGGACACUCCUGGGUCCUUUCUCCUCUGUGGCUUUAAACCAGGUGCUCUUGGAAGGAAAAAAGCUCUCAUUUUAUCUGGGCUCCGUUUGCUAAACACAGCCAAGACUAUUUUCAGGUUAUGAUGGUACUUCUUCUAGUAAUUCUUUUCUUUGCCUUCCAGUGUGCAAUUGAUUCUCCUCCUGGUACUAAACUGGUGACCCCGGUUUUUACAAGCCUGAAGCUUAAAAGCUGAUCCCCCACAAGCUCCACCAGAAAGCAUCUGGAUGUUCUAGUCACUGCCAGCUCUUGCUGAAAAGCAAAACGGCCUGCCAACCUAACCCCUGUCUGUGCACUGGGCACAGCCCUGGGAGGGGUGAGGGAGCCCCACGACCUCAUGGGUUUUUUUAAGAGAUAGAAGCAAUUCUAGCCAGUUCAGGUAUGUAGGGAAUUGUUGCAAUGAUUGUUACCAUGUAAGUAUCAAUACAGUUUGUGAAUAGGGUUUAAGUUAUAAAUGGUGACACUUAAAAAUAUUGAAGGGGGAACUGAAAUCAGUUUCUGUCAGUCAAAAGUUUCAUUCAGCCAGUACGAUUUCAGAGUUUGCAACUAGAAUUUUGUUUUUCCUUCAGAGCUCUUCACACCUUCCGAGGAUAACAGGAUGCUGGAAAGAGAAUUUAUGAACUAAAAAUAUGGAGAUGAAGAAGAUCCUGCCAGAUUGCCAAAAACUCACUGUUGGCCGUGUUUGGGAAAGUGAUAUGUGAAACUAUGAGUGUUAAUACCAAAACCAGGCAAAGCCAGGUGAGGCAUCUCGGAAGCGAAGUUAAGAUGGUUUUGGGAUUCAUCCUACUGCCUGUUCUUCGACACACGGAGGAUUUGAUUUAACAUUAGUCAUAUCCACCAGAGCCCAGAUGGGGUUUUAGAAGACCCUGGAGCAGGGCGAGAAGUGGCUUGGUGACGGAGUAGAGGAGGCUGCCCAUUUCCGAAGGUCAUAGUUCAGGGGAUAUUUCUUGACUUAUUCUUUUCUCCAUUCCGGUGCCACAUCAGUGAGCUGUUUAAAAAAAAAAAAAAAGAUGCUUAUCUCCUUCCUUUAUUUUAGCAGCCCCUGAAGUUCCAUUUCCUUCUUGAAACCUCUGACUCAACGACUGGAGGAAUGCUCCUCACACCCCGCCCCAUCCUGUCUAUGCGUGCAACUUUUGUGACUCCCCCUUCACUCACCACCUCACCACGCACAUGCAAUUCGUUGCUUUAACAUGCUGUCAUUUGCUUCUUUGUUUAUUUUACAUAUGUGGGUCACCUGUUGGCUUAGGUAAGAUUUAAAUCUGGCUGAGUUGGUAUGGCUAGCUUUUGCUUAUGCCCAGAAGGAGAAUAGUAUGUGAUAUUCAUAUGAACAUGUAAUAUAUGUUUUUCUUUUUGAUAAUAACAUUUGACUCAUCAUUAAAGUAUGUGGUGUGGUCACCUCUCAGCCUCAGGUCUGAAUGAUCUAGGCUUGGGGACUGUCAGAACCAUUAUCAUCAUCAUCAUUUUAAAGCAUGAUCAUUUAAUCUGGAUUAUGCACACCUACUGUAUUUGAAUGAUUGUUAUUGUUUCUUAUUACUGAAUAAUUCUUAUUGUUUUCUUAUUGUUUUUAUUACUAAAGUAAUACACAGAA